GAUGAACGCUGACAGAAUGCUUAACACAUGCAAGUCAACUGUGGAGGACGGGUGAGUAACGCGUAAAGAACUUGCCUACCAGAUAGGGACAACAUUUGGAAACGAAUGCUAAUACAUGAUACUGUGAGAGAGGUUUGCUUCCCAUUAGCUAGAUGGCGAGGUUACGGCUCACCAAGGCGAUGAUGGGUAGCCGGCCUGAGAGGGUGAUCGGCCACAAGGGGACUGAGACACGGCCCUUAGUCCUACGGGAGGCAGCAGUGGGGAAUAUUGGACAAUGGACCAAAGUCUGAUCCAGCAAUUCUGUGUGCACGAUGAAGUUUUCGGAAUGUAAAGUGCUUUCAGUUUGGAAGCGGUACCAACAGAAGAAGUGACGGCUAAAUACGUGCCAGCAGCCGCGGUAAUUC
rnacentral:rRNA from 1 species